AGACAACAUGUAGACACACGCCUCAUCAAGUUCAUUAAAUUCAAGGGGUCUACUCUGAGUAAAAGUUACUUGAAUUUGAAUUGUAUAAUUAAUUUUGUGUGUAGAAUACACAGGGUAUGAACAAUGGCUUCAUUUUUACUGUAAUUUUACUUUACUUUCAAUUCUUAAGGAAACCAGUAGCUAAUCUACUUAUUUCAUGUACUAGUGAUUUUUUAAAAAAUAUGAUCACCAGGUAUCAAAAUAUUCCAACAGCCAAGAAGAAGCUUAUUCCCCAGACACAGUUAUAGGACAGAUAAAUCAAUAAGGCACAGUGUCCUCAACCUUUCCAUUACCUCAGACACAAAGUCAAACAUUAUAAGGAAUACUCCAAUAUGUCAUUUCAAGUAGAGAAGAGGGCAUUCGGCUUAACCUAAGCAGUGCAAUGCCUUUGGAUGGGAGUUAAGUGCAUUUACUUUGGCCUCAAUGUGGCUCAGCGGGCAACUACACAACCAGGGGAGAGAAAACUCAGGCUUACCGUACCAUAAAUCACUUUUGGCCAAACUACACAUUACGUAAAAAAAUCCUGGCUGCCACCACUUCAUGUCUCCUGGUAAUGUUUGGUAAAAGCAGACAGAUGAAGUGACGUAUCUGUCGCAAUUCUCCUGCUUGGUGAACCACAAGCAAAGAGGGCAAGAGUAUUGUGUUCCUCAUAUAGACGGAGGUGGCAGCUGUCAUAGCUCUCUGUGGGUGUAAUGUUGCCUUCCCAUCCCAAAAUCAGCACUUUGUCAUGUCAGGCUCCUGCGCCAAGGGUGUCUAGGCAGUUGGGAAGAAAUGAAAUGAACAAAUGUUGCUUCAAAAACAGAAAAGAAAUAUAUGAAAAAAGAUAUGGCCCACAGCUGCAGCAAACUACUACAGAGAAUGGUCUGCUAUUGCUAAUGCAGGAAUGAGGAAGUAGCUAAACACCACCCACAACUCUAAGAUGCUUCUGGAAGAUACAGGAUUUCUACGCAGAGGGAAUUCCACAAUUACCCACUACGACAUAUUCUUAUUAUUCAGACAAGCAAUACGGAGAGCAGUCAAUAAAGUGGUGUCAACUGAUUUUA